rnacentral:rRNA from 1 species
GAUGAACGCUAGCUACAGGCUUAACACAUGCAAGUCGAGGGACCGGCGCACGGAUGAGUAACACGUAUACAACCCGCCCUUUACUGGGGGACAGCCUUUUGAAAGAUAGUUUAAUACCUGAUAUUAAGUAUGGGGAUGCGUUCCAUUAGGUUGUUGGUGAGGUAACGGCCCACCAAGCCGUCGAUGGAUAGGGGUUCUGAGAGGAAGGUCCCCCACAUUGGAACGGAGACACGGACCAAACUCCUACGGGAGGCAGCAGUGAGGAAUAUUGGUAAAUGGGCGGUAGCCUGAACCAGCCAAGUAGCGUGAAGGAUGAAGGCUUAUGGGUCGUAAACUUCUUUUAUAUAAGAAUAUGUAUUAUAUGAAUAAGGAUCGGCUAACUCCGUGCCAGCAGCCGCGGUAAUUC